rfam:Triticum aestivum genome assembly, contig: Triticum_aestivum_CS42_TGACv1_scaffold_093450_2AL
GCCUCGUCAGGAGUUCUCUUCAAGCACUUCGGGACGCUUCUGUUCGAGAACUUCUCUGAAGUGUUUGGGGGAACUCUUGGUGUCAC